CGAACGCUGGCGGCGUGCUUAACACAUGCAAGUCGAACGGAAAGGCCCUUCGGGGUACUCGCGUGGCGAACGGGUGAGUAACACGUGGGUGAUCUGCCCUGCACUUUGGGAUAAGCCUGGGAAACUGGGUCUAAUACCGAAUAGGACCACGCGCUUCAUGGUGUGUGGUGGAAAGCUUUUGCGGUGUGGGAUGGGCCCGCGGCCUAUCAGCUUGUUGGUGGGGUAAUGGCCUACCAAGGCGACGACGGGUAGCCGGCCUGAGAGGGUGACCGGCCACACUGGGACUGAGAUACGGCCCAGACUCCUACGGGAGGCAGCAGUGGGGAAUAUUGCACAAUGGGCGCAAGCCUGAUGCAGCGACGCCGCGUGAGGGAUGACGGCCUUCGGGUUGUAAACCUCUUUCAAUAGGGACGAAGCGCAAGUGACGGUACCUAUAGAAGAAGCACCGGCCAACUACGUG
rnacentral:rRNA from 1 species